UUAACUAUUAUAUAGUACUCAGACAGUAUAGACAAACAGAGUUUAGGUCCUCUGGCAAGCGCUCGCCGGCCGGAGCCAGCAGCCCGAGGGCAGGCUUGCCAAAGCAACAAUAGUAUGUAAACACGGGUGGGUGUAAGCUCCUAACCGCUGUUUCCAACGUUCGGUAGCCUCACUUGUAAUGAUCCUUCCGCAGGUUCACCUACGGAAA
rnacentral:misc_RNA from 1 species